AUUGAGCGCUGGCGGCAUGCCUAACACAUGCAAGUCGAACGGCAGCACAGUCUAGCUUGCUAGACGGGUGGCGAGUGGCGAACGGGUGAGUAACGCGUAGGAAUAUGGCUUAAAGAGUGGGACAACUUGGGGAAACUCAAGCUAAUACCGCAUAAGCUCUUAGGAGGAAAGCUGGGGACCUUCGGGCCUGGCGCUUUAAGAUUAGCCUGCGUCCGAUUAGCUAGUUGGUAGGGUAAGGGCCUACCAAGGCGACGAUCGGUAGCUGGUCUGAGAGGAUGACCAGCCACACUGGGACUGAGACACGGCCCAGACUCCUACGGGAGGCAGCAGUGGGGAAUAUUGGACAAUGGGGGCAACCCUGAUCCAGCAAUGCCGCGUGUGUGAAGAAGGCCUGAGGGUUGUAAAGCACUUUCAGUGGGGAGGAGAGAUGUCAGGUUAAGAGCUGGACAUUGAGACGUUACCCACAGAAGAAGCACCGGCUAACUCCGUGCCAGCAGCCGCAGUAA
rnacentral:rRNA from 1 species